UGUCAACAACUGAAAACAUGUCUAUCCAGCCUUACAUGUUCAAGCCAGAAAAUGACCCAGAGCAGGAGAAUGAAGACAACGAACCUGCAGAACCAUGCCUUCAAAUGAAUGCAUUACAGUGGUGUACCCGUGGUAACUAUUCUAAAAUGCCAACAGAAAUUGAAAACCUAUGCUGUACAGAAAUUCCCAUGGUUGUUGCCAGAAUGGAGGAAAUACCCA